rnacentral:rRNA from 1 species
CCUACGGGAGGCAGCAGUGAGGAAUAUUGGUCAAUGGACGAGAGUCUGAACCAGCCAAGUAGCGUGAAGGAUGACUGCCCUAUGGGUUGUAAACUUCUUUUAUAUGGGAAUAAAACGUUCCACGUGUGGGAUUUUGUAUGUACCAUAUGAAUAAGGAUCGGCUAACUACGUGCCAGCAGCCGCGGUAAUACGGAGGAUCCGAGCGUUAUCCGGAUUUAUUGGGUGUAAAGGGAGCGUAGGUGGAUUGUUAAGUCAGUUGUGAAAGUUUGCGGCUCAACCGUAAAAUUGCAGUUGAAACUGGCAGUCUUGAGUACAGUAGAGGUGGGCGGAAUUCGUGGUGUAGCGGUGAAAUGCUUAGAUAUCACGAAGAACUCCGAGUGCGAAGGCAGUUCACUGGACUGCAACUGACACUGAGGCUCGAAAGUGUGGGUAUCAAACAGGAUUAGAUACCCUUGUAGUC